rnacentral:rRNA from 1 species
GCAUAUCAAUAAGCGGAGGAAAAGAAACCAACAGGGAUUGCCCUAGUAACGGCGAGUGAAGCGGCAACAGCUCAAAUUUGAAAUCUGGCUCUCUUUGGGGGUCCGAGUUGUAAUUUGCAGAGGAUGCUUUGGCAUUGGCGGCGGUCUAAGUUCCUUGGAACAGGACAUCACAGAGGGUGAGAAUCCCGUACGUGGUCGCCUGCCUUUGCCGUGUAAAGCUCCUUCGACGAGUCGAGUUGUUUGGGAAUGCAGCUCUAAAUGGGAGGUAAAUUUCUUCUAAAGCUAAAUACUGGCCAGAGACCGAUAGCGCACAAGUAGAGUGAUCGAAAGAUGAAAAGUACUUUGGAAAGAGAGUCAAAAAGCACGUGAAAUUGUUGAAAGGGAAGCGCUUGCAGCCAGACUUGCCCGCAGUUGCUCACCUAGGCUUUGGCCUGGGGCACUCUUCUGCGGGCAGGCCAGCAUCAGUUUGGGCGGUUGGAUAAAGGCCUCUGUCACGUAUCUCCCUUCGGGGUGACCUUAUAGGGGAGGCGCAAUGCAACCAGCCCGGACUGAGGUCCGCGCUUCGGCUAGGAUGCUGGCGUAAUGGCUGUAAGCGGCCCGUCUUGAAACACGGACCAAGGAGUCUAACAUCUAUGCGAGUGUUUGGGUGUCAAGCCCGAGCGCGCAAUGAAAGUGAACGGAGGUGGGAACCCUUUGGGUGCACCAUCGACCGAUCCUGAUGUCUUCGGAUGGAUUUGAGUAAGAGCAUAGCUGUUGGGACCCGAAAGAUGGUGAACUAUGCUUGAAUAGGGUGAAGCCAGAGGAAACUCUGGUGGAGGCUCGCAGCGGUUCUGACGUGCAAAUCGAUCGUCAAAUUUGGGCAUAGGGGCGAAAGACUAAUCGAACCAUCUAGUAGCUGGUUCCUGCCGAA